AUAAAAAAAAAAACAAUAGCCUUAAGGAUCAAAGCCUAGAUAGGGGAAUUAAAAGGGCUUGAUCUGGGAGCACCUGGACAGAAGUUUUUGCUGCUUUCAACUUAUGCCAGGUUAAGCGAAAAGCUGUAAAUGGCAAAGAACAUGUGUACUGGAGUUGAUUCUUAUGUCUCUUUGGCACUCUUCCUCCCUUCUCCAACUGAAUGGCCCUUAAGUUACCAGAGAAGAGGAUCUUGGCCUAGAAUACAAGGAGGAGUAGAUGGACUAGAAGAAGAUACAUUUUUGGAACUAAGCAGGAUCACUUUGAACCUUUUAUGCAGUUAUCUAGGCAAAAGUAUGCAGCCUGAGGCACCUCAGUGACAUCUAUCUUCUAA
rnacentral:lncRNA from 1 species